AGCGGGGUAGAGCAGUUCGGCAGCUCGCUAGCCUCAUAAGCUAGAGGUCGGAGGUUCAAAUCCUCCUCCCGCCAC
rnacentral:tRNA from 1 species